GAUGAACGCUGGCGGCGUGCCUAAUACAUGCAAGUCGAACGCACAGACCAGGGUCUUGCUCCUCUGACGUAGGCGGCGGACGGGUGAGUAACAUGUGGAUAACCUACCUAUAAGAAUGGGGUAACUUUGGGAAACCGGAGCUAAUACCGGAUAAUAUAUCGAACCGCAUGGUGCAAUAGUGAAAGUAGGUUUUGCUGUCACUUAUAGCUGGACACGGGCUGCAUUAGCUAGUUGGUAAGGUAACGGCUUAGCAAGGCUACGACGGGUAGCCGACCUGAGAGGGUGAUCCGCCACACUGGAACUGAGACAGGGUCCAGACACCGACGGGAGGCAGCAGUAGGGAAUCUUCCGCGAUGGGCGAGAGCCUGACGGAGCAACGCCGCGUGAGUGAUGAAGGUCUUCUGAUCGUAAAGCUCUGUUAUUAGGAGAGAACAAAUGUGUAAGUAACUGUGCACGUCUUGACGGUACCUAAUCAGAAAGCCACGGCUAACUACGUG
rnacentral:rRNA from 1 species